AUGAAUGUUAUUGAUGAAUAUUAUUAGUGAGAGGUGCUUUUGCCUUAAUAUCUACCGUUGCCGGGAGAGGUCACCAAACAAAUAAUAGAAUUGGGAAUCAAACUUGUUUAUGCUUCAAAUGAUUAAAUUAUAAAUUAACUAACAAUUCCUCUCGUAACACUAACAACUUACAACUAACGGAGUGUAUAUGGCUUAGAAAAAUAAUCUCAAAGACGAGUCCGGAUACAGAUCUCGAGUAGGGGUGUUUAAAAAAACUGACCAACCGAUUAAACCGAAAAAAAAUUAACCGAAAAAACCGAACCGAUUAAAAAAACCGAAAAAACCGAUUAAAAAAUAAAAAAAUCACCCGGUCCGGUUCGGUUCCGGUUUAAAACAGCUUAAACUGAUUGAACCGGACCAAACCGAACCAGUUUAAAAAAAAGGUAUAAAAACAACAUUUACUAACCCUAAUAUCACUUUUCUCCUUUCCAGCCGCCACCCCCCCUCCUCCCUUUCCAACCUUCCCUUCCUUUCCCUUUCCCCUUCCCCUUCCCCCUUCCCCCUUUCCCCUUUCCCCAAAAGCAAGUGAACAAUGGUUAUCCAAGCUCUCCUUAUAGAUCGUAAGACAUCCCUUUUGGCUAAUUUAUCUUGUUUCUCCUUGUAUCUUGUUUUCAAGGAACAUGGGUUUCCAUGGGGGUAUAUUCUGAUGGAUCUUAUGGGAUUCAACCUGGCCUUAUAUACUCUUUCCCGGUUACCUGCGAGAAGGGCAAAUGGUCAAUUGUGCAGGGUAAUCUAUACUUCCUUUUACUUUCUCAUUAGAGACUGAGUCCUCUGGUUAUGACAAUGUCAGGACUCAAGAUUGACGAGUUCUCGAGGGCGAAGAUGGAUGCAACAACAAAAGAGCUUGUGGAGGAGAAAUCGUUAGCCUAUUCAGGGCUUCUAGGAGUUAUUUUCUUCUAGGAGUUAUUUUAUUAUGUCAAAAUUGUAUAGUUUGAUUAUUAAUAUACAAAUAUUUCUUAACAUCAUCUGAAAGGAACAAUGGUUAUCACUGUUACUAUAGAACAGUCCGGUUUUCUGGUUUUUUUGGCUAAAAAACCGACCCGAACCGAACAAAACCGGUUUGGUUUGAACCGGUUCUCGGUUCAGUCCGGGUUGUAUUAAUAAAGAAUAUUAUUUUCCGGUUUGGUUGUAUUUUUUAGUUAAAACCAGACCAUGAACACCUCUAAUCUCGAGUACAGUUUUAUGGGAAACAAGGCACACCAGCCACAUACGUAGAUGAGUUGGAAAUUUGUAUGA
rnacentral:lncRNA from 1 species